rnacentral:lncRNA from 1 species
AGUCAGUCUUCCCCUUUGUCCUUCUCUCCUCCCUCGCUUAUCCCUUAUAGGCGCCGCCUCACUCCACCGGCGGCCGCCGCCGCGACCCUAGAGGGGGCGCCUAGCUUCUGCUUACCGAGGUAAAGGACUGAGCUGCCGUACACUUGCAACCAAUGUCGAUUUGAUCUGAAAUUGGCACACGGCUUAGCUCAUCCUUAGUUCUUGUUGGGUUUGUUUCCGUUCCGAAAAACGAUGAUAAAAAUCGGUUUCUUGUUGUUGUUUAGGGUGCCAAUAAAAACCGAAGGGUUUAGUUUCCAACUAGAUCCGUGGAUCUAGUGUCUCAUCAUCUCCCAAUUUUCCCUAUAUUGUUUCUUUUUUUUUGAGGGGGAUAAGAAGAAGAAGAAGUAGGAGGCACACUCUCGUUCAUCCCCACCGAUUUUGAUAUUCUAGCUCCAGUUUCUCACAGCAAAAUGCUGAUUUGGCCACAGGAUCGUUAGGGUGGAUGAAAGGUAGCCCGGAUUCUUCAUCGACGAGAGAGGAGCAGAGGAUUGCUGCUUGGCUGCUACUCGUUUCCUGCGUCCUCCUAUGGCUAUGGCCAUUCCUGCUGCUGCUGCUGCUGCUGCUCUGUGGGUGUUGCCAUGCCACAGAUAGUUGCGUCGCUAGAUUCCUUUUGCCCUCUAAGUUAUCUUCCUUAAUACUGUAUGGAACAGGCCGUUUCCAUGCGACAGACCGGAGAGGUGAUAUGCCGCCUGCACAUGUGGAACCGGGAUGGACUGUCAACAGCUGCCAACAGUCACUACGAAUGCAUCAACCGACCGCCCCUUUCGAUCCGGACAAAUCCAACCCACUUCUGCUCCUGCCCAUGCGACUCAUCAGAAAGGAGCAGUCCUGACAAUUAUGCAUCUAGUGUAGCAAGUGACUCAAAUGGUGGUGGCAUUGGAGCAAGGAACGGGCAUCCGCUUCGUUAUUCUUCAAAUGUCCAUCUUCUCGACGAGAAUGUCAACCUCAUCUCAACUGAGUCUGUGGCACAGCUUGAUACCGCUAUGGGCCGUUGCGGAGAGAUCAUAGGUGAUCACAGAGAAGAACUGCUCAUGGUCUUCACUAACAAUUCAGAUAUGUUGAGCAGUCUCUUCUAUGAAUAUGAUACACCAUGGAUUCUUGGUAAAAACACAAAGACAUCCAUGGAUUUUUCGAAGUGUGAAGAUCUUGGAAAAGAUUAUCUUAUUAUGCUGAAAAUUAGCACCAAAGUUCUCCAGUCGAUGUUCUGUCAGUUUUGUGGACAAAAUCAACCAUUUUUCCAAACAAAAAAAGACUACUUUCAACAGUUUGCAAAGUCACCUAUUAAGAAGAUGUUGGAGAUUGCACUUUCUUUCAGUGAGUCAAACUGGUCUGAGGAGCAUAUCCGUCCAAUGCUACUUGCCUAUGAUACACUACAAGAUGUCCUUCCUACCAUAAGGGAGUUGUCUCCUGAUGAACCUGACGAGUUUUUUACCAGCAUCUUACAUAACAUGAGGAAUGCUUCCAGGGGAAUAAUUGACAAUAUGAAGCGAUUCAUACAACAUAAGGUGCAAACCUGGGACAACAUUGCUAUUCAUCCAACGACAUGUUUCCUCAUAAAUGCAAUAAAGAUUUUCAACGUUCACAAGAAUUUAUUGCAUUCCACUCUGGUCCCUGGUGAUGGCCAAGACUCAUUUGGUUAUCUUAUUAAUGGCGUCAUUGCUUGCUGGAAAUUAAAGAUCAAAGAGCUUUCCAUGUUAGAUGAUCCAGACAAAAAUGAUUCAGACGGAAACAAUCCAAACUUGUUCAUAUUCUUAUUGAAUAACAUAAAGCAUUUUAAUAGGGAUACAAAUGGUCUGCUGGAUGGGUUAUUGGUCCAUAGGGAGCUCAUUGAAGAGUGCAAGAAUGAGUUCCAGAGUGACAUGGAAAAUUAUACUAGUAGAUAUAUGACUGCAUCUUGGGGUCCAGCCAUAUCUUGUUUGAACAAUCAUACAGGCGGAAGCAUACGUCAAUCUAUGAAUGCAUUCAUUUCAAAGUUUGAAGGUACUUUUGAUUGCCAGAAGGUUUUGAAAGUUCCUGAUAGUGAGCUAAAGCAGAAAUUGCGAGAUGAUAUAGAAAAUUUAAUUUUUCCAGCAUAUGAAAUAUCCUUUGAGGAACUGCAGAGAAAUUCCAAUUCAGGAUUAUUUUGCUCAUGUUUUCCGAGAAAUUUAACAUGCAGCAUGUAUACCCCAGAGAUAUUACGACGUUCUGUGCAAGGCUUGUUUGAAGGAUGAACUCUAUUUCUCCUCCCUCUCUAUAUAUAGUUCCAACAAAUGUACCUAUCUUUGUUCAAUUGACCAGAUUUAAUUGGCAGGGAAACUAUCGAGAUUAAGGUUUGCUAUUAAACUAUCGAGAUUUCGCUGUAACCAAAAUAAAGCCAUGGAAAGUUUGGAUGCAGCAGGACAGGACAGCACCUAGAUUCUAUGGGUGAUAAGUGCUCCAGAGAUGGGAGAUGAGUGGCAGAACAGAAGCAAAGGUCCAAGGUGUGAGAAAGUCAACUGGGGCAAUGAAGACAGCAAAAAUUACGGUUGGUUGGCAAAGACCGCAUGCCAUCGCUGAUGCCAUUCAACUAUGGCAAGUUCGCCUACCAUGGUGAUCUGGUGUGCCACUCAAACUUCAGAAGAGAGCAGUUUGUUAUAUACUAUGUCCUGCCAUUUUAAUUUUCAAGUUAGGGAAAAGGUGACCUUUCUUUCUUUUCUUUUCUUUUCUUUUCCUUUUUACAAGGAAGGGAUAAGGUGACCUCUGUUAUCCUUGUUGACAGGUUUUCUAGUUUUGAGAUACUAGUGCUAAAGAUGCAUAUAUAAUUUGAAAUUGUUUCAGAAUCAGUCAAUUCCAUGGCCUGGUGUGACAGUUUUAUUUUCACACUGCGUUGCCUGCAAAAUGUUGCUGUUUUGUGUUCCUCGUAUGAUAUUUUACUGUGCAUACUGGCCUUGUAAGCAUCUUUUGUAUACUCAUGGCACUAUUUUAAUCAGGGUUUUGCUAAUUC